rnacentral:misc_RNA from 1 species
GUCGAAGGUGGGGCUGAUGACUGGGGUGAAGUCGUAACAAGGUAUCCGUACCGGAAGGUGCGGAUGGAUCACCUCCUAACAGGGAGACAACACAAUGAUUUUGAUGCCUGAGUACUUUUAUUCUUAGGCCGAAAUCCUGUCACCUUAGGUCGAUCGGUACCUCAGCUUUGAAGUCAAGGAUCAGCAGCAAUGUUGAUUGCUUGAUGGAGAUUUUUAGUUCCUAAACUUUGUCUAGGUCACACCCCAAAAGGGAUGAGACUCCUGGGCCAUUAGCUCAGGUGGUUAGAGCGCACCCCUGAUAAGGGUGAGGUCCCUGGUUCAAGUCCAGGAUGGCCCAUUCGGUGUUGGGGGUUUAGCUCAGUUGGUAGAGCGCCUGCUUUGCAAGCAGGAUGUCAGGAGUUCGAGUCUCCUAACCUCCACUGACCGAACUUGAUUCCCAUCUCCAAUUUUUUGGAGUUGAGCUCGAUUGGAGUGUGAUUUAGAUGUGUCCGCUGGAUGACCCCAGCUUCCUGUCAUUCCAAGUUUUAGAUUUUAAGUCUUAAAUUUGGUUGAUAAGAUGCUGGGCUCGGAUCAAAUAAUCAAGCAAUUGAUGAUUUGAUUUGAAGUUCUAGCAGAACCUUGACAACUGCAUAGGUGAAGUCUGGAAAAACAAAGCAUCUUACAGAUGCAUUGUUUUGAAUCUGAUCUUCUGAAAGGGAGAUUGGAUCUAGAACAAUGAAAAUUCUUUUGAGCAAGAGCCGAGACUCUUAAAUGUUCUUUGAUUCGUGUCGAGCGAAUCAGAGUUUGAUCUUGUUUUUAGCAAUAAAAACUUGAGAAUCUGCUUUCAACGGCGGUAAGCGUUUAAGAGGUUAAUUGGUCAAGCUACAAAGGGCUCACGGCGG